CACGGUUUAACUAUAGAAUACUAGACAAAAAGCUUAUCAGUUGCUGUACUACUAUUGGACACAGAAUUUGUGUCGAUAAUUUAUUUAAGGGUUAGUUUGAUGUCUAAGAUUAAAGGUAACGUUAAAUGGUUUAAUGAGUCCAAAGGAUUCGGUUUUAUUACCCCUGAAGAUGGCAGCAAAGAUGUGUUUGUACACUUCUCAGCUAUUCAGAGUAACGGUUUCAAAACAUUAGCUGAAGGUCAGCGCGUAGAGUUUGAAAUAACUAAUGGCGCCAAAGGCCCAUCGGCUGCUGACGUUACUGCUAUAUAAUAUUUUCAUGUUGUUUUAUUG
rnacentral:other from 1 species